UUGGGCACUCUAAGGAAACUGCCAGUGAUAAACUGGAGGAAGGUGGGGAUGACGUCAAGUCAUCAUGGCCCUUAUGGAGUGGGCUACACACGUGCUACAAUGGAGGGUACAAUGGGUUGCAAAGUCGCGAGGGUAAGCUAAUCCCUUAAAAGCCUUCUCAGUUCGGAUUGU
rnacentral:rRNA from 1 species